ACAUGCAAGUCGAACGAACGACCUCGGGCUUGCCCGGGGAAGUUAGUGGCGAACGGCUGAGUAACGCGUAGGUGACCUGCCCAGAGGUGGGGAAUAACUGCCCGAAAGGGUGGCUAAUACCGCAUACGGUCAUGAGUUCAUUCUCAUGUCCAAAGCCUUCGGGCGCUACUGGAGGGGCCUGCGUUCGAUUAGCUCGUUGGUGGGGUAACGGCCCACCAAGGCGACGAUCGAUAGGUGGUCUGAGAGGAUGAUCACCCAGACUGGGACUGAGACACGGCCCAGACUCCUACGGGAGGCAGCAGUCGGGAAUUUUGCUCAAUGGGGGAAACCCUGAAGCAGCAACGCCGCGUGAGGGAUGACGGCCUUCGGGUUGUAAACCUCUUUUGUCAGGGACGAUAAUGACGGUACCUGAAGAAUAAGCCACGGCUAACUACGUGCCAGCAGCCGCGGUAAUACGUAGGUGGCAAGCGUUGUCCGGAUUUACUGGGCGUAAAGAGCGCGCAGGCGGCCAGGUAAGUCGAAUGUGAAAGCCCCCGGCUCAACUGGGGAAGGUCGUUCGAUACUGCUUGGCUCGAAGAUAGGAGAGGGAAGUGGAAUUUCAGGUGUAGUGGUGAAAUGCGUAGAUAUCUGAAGGAACACCAGUGGCGAAGGCGACUUUCUGGCCUAUUCUUGACGCUGAGGCGCGAAAGCUAGGGGAGCGAACGGGAUUAGAUACCCCGGUAGUCCUAGCCGUAAACGAUGAACACUAGAUGUUGGUGGUAUCAACCCCGCCAGUGUCGCAGCUAACGCAUUAAGUGUUCCGCCUGGGGAGUACGGCCGCAAGGCUAAAACUCAAAGGAAUUGACGGGGGCCCGCACAAGCAGCGGAGCGUGGGGUUUAAUUCGACGCAACGCGAAGAACCUUACCAGGGCUUGACAUGACCAGGAAUCCGGCGGAAACGUCGGCGCCUCGCAAGAGGCCUGGCCACAGGUGUUGCAUGGCUGUCGUC
rnacentral:rRNA from 1 species